rnacentral:rRNA from 1 species
UACGGAGGGUGCGAGCGUUGUCCGGAAUCACUGGGCGUAAAGGGCGCGUAGGCGGCUCGGCACGUCCGUUGUGAAAUCGCCCGGCUCAACUGGGCGGGGUCAGCGGAUACGGUCGAGCUUGAGCAAGCUAGGGGGCAAUGGAAUUCCCGGUGUAGUGGUGGAAUGCGUAGAUAUCGGGAGGAACACCAGUGGCGAAGGCGGUUGCCUGGGGCUUUGCUGACGCUGAUGCGCGAAAGCGUGGGGAGCGAUCCGG